CACACACACACACACACACACACACACACACACACACACACACACACACACACACACACACACACACACGCUUGGAUCUGCUCAUGUGACAACAUCACACAACAUCCUCCUGUCAUCCUUAAUGACAGCAAGUGAAGGGGUGACAUUUGGAGAUGAAGGACGUGCGCGUAUGUGCGCCUGAAUGUCACCGAGGAGAUUAUGUGCAUGUGUGAAUGCUAUAAAUGUAAACCAUAUUACGUGUGUGUCGAUCCCAGAGGGGGUUUUGUGGUAUGCAGGCGGUGCUUCAUCUUUCAUGAAAACGUCAAUAAGGAGGAUGUGGGUUCAUGUCAAUGAAUAUUCAUCAAUGACACAGAAAGGUUGUGUGACUUUAGAAAAGACAUAAAAACAAAUCAACCUGGAAGAAAAACAGAGUGUCUCUGAGGAUCUUAUCUAGAGCUUUCACAUUUUUGCUUAAUAAAUAACCUGAACAAUUAUUAAAUUAACAAAUCUGUUGUUAUUCAUUUUCUGUCCAUCGAAUAAUCAAUUAAUCGAAUAAUAAUUUUAGCAUUAGUGCAAUCCAUUAUAGAACAGUGCAAGCCAAACAAAAUAGUGGCUAGUAAAAAUUAAAUUAAGGGUGCUUCAAUCAAUCGGCCACAUUGUUAGCGGCCGAUAUUCGUUCUAAAUAGUUUGAUCGUUGGUCUCUGUAAAGGGCGAUCAGAAGAGCUGAUCAGAUGUCGAAAAACACAGACAAACAAUUUCUCUACGCGCAGCUAAAAUGGCCAAAGUUGAGAGUGGUAUCUCUAAGACCCUGAUCACACAGAGCGUGUUUUAGCAGCCUGGGGCGGCUUUUUGAAAUUGUUUUCAAUGAGAUUGAAGCCCUUUGCACACUGCUUUUGCGUUGCUGAGCGCCUCACGUUUUUCCGCUCUAUGCACUUUGCGUUUUUACAGGAGCGCUCUGAACGCCUUGAGUUGAAGAAAAUUCAACCCAGAGCGGAAAAGCGCUCGUCAUUAGCAUUUUUUUUGUCACUGUGGUGACUUUUGCUGGAUACCUGGAGCUUUAUGACUUUAACAACCGUAGUUACAAUGAUAUGAACAGAAAAAAACAUGAGGCAAAUCAGUGCGGUACCUGACAUUUUGGGAUUCCUGAUAAGCCGAGGAUCCGGCUCUGUGGUCCUGCGUUAUGAAGCCGAGUCCCCGACUCAGCAGCCCACACUGACUCAGCCUUCUCUGGAGAAAGCUCCACCCUGUUGAAAUGUGAUGUGUAUGAAUCUGGCCUCCAUCCACUACCUGUGUGUGUGUGUGUGUGUGUGUGUGUGUGUGUGUAUCGGCCUACAUCCUCUGUGUUUGGGUGCCUGAGUAACUCUGUGAGAGCAGCAAUGGGACCGACUGUAAUUUACUCUGAGGGAGUGACUGUGUGUACGUGUGAGUGGCAGACCGCACUCAGAAGAUCAUUCAUUUUUAACAAGGUGCUUUGCAAAUGCAGGUCAUGCACUCUUAGCUUAGGAAAAGAGGGCUUGGUGUGUAUGUGAUACGAUUAAAAGGGCAGAAUGGAUUUGUUUAUAUGCGUUUUCCCCCCAUUUGCCUUAUAAGCGAAGAGCUUCUGGAGGUUUCUCUGAGAGCGUCUGCUGCAGUCUCCUCUCCUCUAACUCAUAGCUGCCUCUGUCCUCUCCUCUUCUGCUCUCUGCCCUGCUGUUGUACACUUUCUGCCUCCUUCCUGACUCCUCCUUUAUUCUCUCCCUCUCCACCACCACCAACCCCCCCACCUCUGAUCCCCUCUGCAAUUACCGCAACACUCCGAGACAGGGGAAAUGGGUUGCCUGGCAACAGGAUGCAGCUGGACCAAUAGCAUCCCCCCAAAUGAGUUGACUGUAAUGUAUUUAAACAGAAGGGAGAGAACAAGAGACAGGGAGGAGGGCUUGGUACUGAUGGUGAGAGAACAGAAAAGGGGAAAGGGAGAGCACAAAGAAAAGAUAAAAUAGAUAGAAUAAAUAAAGAUAGCAGAAUCUACAGAUGGAAAAAAUGACCUCCUAGAGAGGAUGGAGGUUUUCUAAUAGAUUUGUUUCUUU